rnacentral:rRNA from 1 species
GUCGAGCGCGCCCUUCGGGGUGAGCGGCGGACGGGUUAGUAACGCGUGGGAACGUACCCUUCUCUACGGAAUAGCCAUUGGAAACGAUGAGUAAUACCGUAUACGCCCUUUGGGGGAAAGAUUUAUCGGAGAAGGAUCGGCCCGCGUUAGAUUAGAUAGUUGGUGGGGUAAUGGCCUACCAAGUCUACGAUCUAUAGCUGGUUUGAGAGGAUGAUCAGCAACACUGGGACUGAGACACGGCCCAGACUCC